rnacentral:rRNA from 1 species
UGCAGUCGAACGGAGAAUCAGCAAUGAUUCUUAGUGGCGAACGGGUGAGUAACGCGUAGACAACCUGCCUUCUAGAUGGGGACAACACUGCGAAAGUGGUGCUAAUACCGAAUGUUGUAUUAAGCCUGCAUGGGCUUGAUACUAAAGGUGGCCUCUAUUUAUAAGCUAUCACUAGAAGAUGGGUCUGCGUCUGAUUAGCUAGUUGGUGAGGUAAUGGCUCACCAAGGCGAUGAUCAGUAGCCGGUCUGAGAGGAUGAACGGCCACACUGGGACUGAGACACGGCCCAGACUCCUACGGGAGGCAGCAGUGGGGAAUCUUCCGCAAUGGACGAAAGUCUGACGGAGCAACGCCGCGUGAGUGAAGAAGGUUUUCGGAUCGUAAAGCUCUGUCUUUGAGGACGAAUGUGUCUAAUGUGAAUAAUGUUAGAUAAUGACGGUACUCGAGGAGGAAGCCACGGCUAACUACGUGCCAGCAGCCGCGGUAAUACGUAGGUGGCAAGCGUUGUCCGGAAUUAUUGGGCGUAAAGCGCGCGCA